AGUGAACGCUGGCGGUAGGCCUAACACAUGCAAGUCGAACGGCAGCACCGUAAGAGCUUGCUCUUACGGGUGGCGAGUGGCGGACGGGUGAGGAAUACCUCGGAAUCUACUUUUUCGUGGGGGAUAACGUAGGGAAACUUACGCUAAUACCGCAUACGACAUACGGGUGAAAGCAGGGGAUCUUCGGACCUUGCGCGAUUGAAUGAGCCGAUGUCGGAUUAGCUAGUUGGCGGGGUAAAGGCCCACCAAGGCGACGAUCCGUAGCUGGUCUGAGAGGAUGACCAGCCACACUGGAACUGAGACACGGUCCAGACUCCUACGGGAGGCAGCAGUGGGGAAUAUUGGACAAUGGGCGCAAGCCUGAUCCAGCCAUGCCGCGUGGAUGAAGAAGGCCUUCGGGUUGUAAAGCCCUUUUGUUGGGAAAGAAAAGCAGCAGGUUAAUACCCCGCUGUUCUGACGGUACCCAAAGAAUAAGCACCGGCUAACUUCGUG
rnacentral:rRNA from 1 species